UACGAAGGGGGCUAGCGUUGCUCGGAAUCACUGGGCGUAAAGCGCACGUAGGCGGAUUGCUAAGUCAGGGGUGAAAUCCUGGAGCUCAACUCCAGAACUGCCUUUGAUACUGGCGAUCUCGAGUCCGGGAGAGGUGAGUGGAACUGCGAGUGUAGAGGUGAAAUUCGUAGAUAUUCGCAAGAACGCCAGUCGGCGGAAGGGCG
rnacentral:rRNA from 1 species